rnacentral:rRNA from 1 species
AGGACGAACGCUGGCGGCGUGCUUAACACAUGCAAGUCGAGCGAGGCCUUCCCUUCGGGGGAGUGCCCUAGCGGCGAACGGGUGAGUAACACGUGGGCAACCUGCCCCUAGCACUGGGAUAACUCCGGGAAACCGGGGCUAAUACCGGAUAUGACCUUUGAGGGCAUCCUCUUUGGUGUAAAGGAUUCUGGCUAGGGAUGGGCCCGCGGCCUAUCAGCUUGUUGGUGGGGUAAUAGCCUACCAAGGCGACGACGGGUAGCCGGCCUGAGAGGGCGACCGGCCACACUGGGACUGAGACACGGCCCAGACUCCUACGGGAGGCAGCAGUGGGGAAUAUUGCACAAUGGGCGAAAGCCUGAUGCAGCGACGCCGCGUGAGGGAUGACGGCCUUCGGGUUGUAAACCUCUUUCAGCUCCGACGAAGCGAAAGUGACGGUAGGAGCAGAAGAAGCACCGGCCAACUACGUGCCAGCGAGCCGGC